GGUUUGAUGUAGGCUGGACUUGCUACAAGUUCCAUAGGUACUUUUUUAUUAUUUUUUUAUUUUAUUUUUUGUGUGUGUGUAUGUUUUUAGCUUUCCUCCCUCACUAAAGAGCAAGUCUGUGUGGACAGACUUGUUACCUUUGCUACCUCUUGAAUUCAUGAGAACAAUAAGAUGGUUAGUGAAAGAUUAGGCAUUUUUUUUAAUUGUAAGUAAUUAAAUGUAUAAAAGUAGAAGCUAAAUUAAAGUUAAGGGAUUUUUACCACCCCGUCCUUCCAUCAAAAGUCAGCUAGAGAAAUGUUAAAGCAAAGCUUGGCCAAAGACAAAGCAAAAAAUACACUGAGCUAGAGGCUGUGCUGGCUGCUUGGACUGGCUCAAUUCGCAGUCUCUUGGCUGUCUGUAGUCACUUUUAGAUAAAAGCAGAAAACUUCUCUGAGCUUUUUGGGCCCUUUCCAGCUUUGUUUAUUGAGUCUGGAUACUAUGGGGAAGGAAAUAUGUCCCCCUCAUCUUCCACUCCCCCAGCACAUCUGGGUCAGUCUGUAAACACCUGGCAGGACAGAGGGUGAGGGCAUAGCAGCCUAUAAUUUACUAGAAUCCAGAGUGCAAUAAGGUGGGGGAGAGGAGGAGAAAGCAAACCAAAGUGUUUCAUAUCCUCCCUUUUAGACAAUUUAACACACGCACACAAAAAAAAAAAAAAAAAAGAAAAAAAUGAAAAGAAAAAGAAACAAAAUGUUCUUGCAACAUCUGCCUAAGACAUCACAGCCAACAGCUGCUAUUGGUUUAGGAGAGAAGACAGAGAACUUUGCCCACCGAUUCUUGGCCCCCUUGACUUUGUUGGCGUGACCUUGUGGAAAGCUAUGGCUUAUUUCAAGCCUCCUGUGACUGUGGUGGUAAAAAUUCACAGCCAGUAGAAUCAUCCCUUCUGAAAUGACUAAGGUUUACACUUGCAUUUUUUCAUUUGUUGGUUUUUGGUGUUUUGUUUUUUGGUUUGUUUUUUUUUUUUUCCACUCAAACCAGUAGAGUCUCUAUGCGUAAGUUUUACCAAACCUCACGUUUUGUCUUUUUUAAAAAAAAAAGAAAAACACAAAACGAUCAAUUUUUUAAAGUUUUGACCAAAAAAGAAAAAAAAAGAAAAAAGUGAGCAUGUUUGACUAAAACAAAGAAAUAUAAGCUUCAUUUUCUAUUGGGGUUUUUUUUGCUUGGUUUUUUUUUGUUUGUUUGUUUUGUUUCAUUUUUUGUUUUUUGGGUUUUUUUUUUUUUAAGGUAGACUAGUCCAUGAGAAGUUUUUGGGUCAAUUGACUGAACUGAGGAAACUGGAAUCCAGGCUCCAAGCAAUAGACAACCCAAAGGCGCAGAGCCUCGGCCUGGUGUCACGUUACAGGGAACACUCGCCCCUCUCCAGCCGCUCCCCUGUGCUUCUCCCGGUGCCAUUGUCCCCUUGCUCCCGGAGCGCGGGAGGGGUGCAUGGACUUUUGCUUUUGUCGAAUUGUGCUGAGACGCGCUGUUUUCUUUUCGGGGGUUAAGUGUGCUUUUAGCGUCUUUAGCACUUCCACAUUUUUGAAUAUAUACUGAAUUAUUUUCUCCUUGACUCUUUGUCACACCCCCUCCCCCGAGAAUGUCCCCAAAAUAGUCUUUGGGAAGGACAGGGAAGGCCGUGCCAUCUACCUUGUUCUCAGAGGGCAUCUGAGCAGAGCCCAGGGCCAGCUGCGCAAGAUGAGUUCUCGGCACUGUCACCCCACCUUUACCUCCCCUCCAGCCACCCUCGGCGGAGCUGACCCCGCUCCGGCUCCCCUUGGAGCCAAGGGCCCACCUCCAGAGCAGCCCCUGCUCCCUCUCUUCAUUCCAUUUCUACGUGUCUGUGGGUGAUGUAGCUUCUCCCCCUGCCCCAGGCCCACUUUCAUUUGUUUCUAAAGCCUUGAGAAUUAUGUUGAACUUUCAGGACCCAAUGCUAUUUUUUUAAAACUAUUUUUUGGAGCAUCUUUUUUUUUUUUUUUUUUUUUUUAAAUCCCCUCCCCAGCACUUAAACAGUACGACAUAAAGUCUGUGUACAGCAAGAGUAUUGUACAAAAGGAAAUUAUGUUCUUUUUUCAAAUAGCUGUGUAAAGUUGUGUUCCAUAGACUGAGUAUAAACAACAUUUUCCAAAUUGUGACAGUAAUAAUUAAUAACUAAUAAUACUCAAAACUUCAGGGACUGUUUCAGGCCUGCUUGGGGCCUAAACACUCAACUGCAUUUGUACGACAUAGUAUUGUAUCAACAUUUUUCUGUAUUUUAAUGAGAAAGCAAAACACUAGUUUCAUAUUUAAGAUUUUAAGAAUUUUAGGGUGGGGGGGAGGGAGCUGCGUUUUUGUUUUUUUAAAAUUUUAUUUUGAAUUUUUUUUUUAAAUACACAAAGAGCCUCAAGAGGAAAAAACCAAUUUAAAAGGAAACAAAAAAAAAAACAAAAAAAAAAAACAAAAAAAAAAGAAAAAAAAAGAGGCCAGGCAGCUUAAGUAUAUGCUUUAGUCACUUAGUUCCAGAAUGUUUUCGGAAUAACAGGAAAAAAAAAAAAGAUAAAAUAGCAAAAGUUGUAUAAAAGAAUAAGAAGCUCAUACCCAAAUUCACAAAACUAUUUUUUAAACCAAAGCACAUUUGAAUGAGUAUGGAACCUCACUUGGCUCAGAAAAGUACUAAUAUAUUUAUCUCAUUGUUUACAUAAACUUUUACAGUUUCAGACCUCAACAGAUCUAGGGGCCAGUCAAAAUUAAUCUUUGCUUUUUCCAUUGGUUUGUCUCUGAAGGCUGUGCAGUGUUCCCCAGCUUGGGAGGGGGAAUCUGUGUCCCAGCCUGCAUUCCAGCACUGCUCCGGGAGGGUGGGGAGAGGGUGGGCAAUUAGAAAUAUGGCAUGUAGAAUUUUUUUUCUUAAUCCAUGAGAGAUGUUGCUGGGAGUGAGACCCAGGCGCUAUUGUAGAGGCGUUUCGGCCUCCCUCUUCCUCAGAGGAGUCUGAGGGAACCAAGAGGGCAAAGUGAGACGCAGGAAGCUCUAGAGAUAAGAAAGGAUGUUAGAAGAUGGUGGGAGCUGCUGUACCCAGCACAUCUCCUUAACUUUAGCCACGGGGAGCUGGGCUGUUUUCCAGUCCCUUACUGCAAAACUUCCAAAAACAAAUUCCUGGCAAAAAAUCCCCAAAGGCCCAGCUCUGUGCACUUGGGGCUGUUAGCAGGAGCCACAAAGCUCACAGAAGACACCAAAGAGCUAUUGACACGCAGCUUCUGUGAGGCUUUGCGGCCGCUGCAGAGCGCAGCCAGCCCUGCCCUGGGGCACCCAGCAGCCUCGGCCUGGGCUGGGACCUGAGCUUGGGGCUCCUCUGGGCCCUUUCAUGGAACCUGGAUGGAUUCACUCCAGACCUUACAGUCCUGCUUAAAAAGCCCAACCAAAACUCCUAAGGCUGCCUUGGUGGAAACCUAAGCCGAUCUGCAUGGUAGAACAGUUUAAAGAUGACCAAUGAGGAUGGUUAGCUAAAAUCACGCUGAAGCCAAAAACAAAAAGGUUUUAGAAAGCUCCCCAUCGUUAGUCUUGACCCUUUGUAGCUUUUACCUUGUACACCAAAGCCACCUCAAAACAUUUGAGGGGGGGCUGAUGGAAAAUGAAAUAUUAAUUUUGCCUGGUCUUAAUAUCUAACAAAGAUGGUGCAAACACUAUUUGACAGUGUUGUUUUUGUAUCAAUAUGUAUGUGCAGUAAUGAAUGUAUUUAUUUCUCAGAUUCUGUAUGCACAGUUUUGCAAUGUAAUUCAGAAAGUUGCAAACACAAAGAUGUGUCCGCAGGGUCUUCUCUACAGGAUUUCAAAAAAAUGAAAAAAAUAUAUUAAAAAAAAAAAAAGAAAAAAAAGAAAAAAGGAAUCUCAGAGACUCAGCAUAGCCAUAAACCAUAACCUGUGAAGACAAUACAAAGACUGGACUUUUGUAGCUUUGCAUAGAAGAGGAAUUUAUGUUUUGCUGUAUUUAAAUGUUUCAAUUUACAGUGUCACUCUUUUAAGAUUCCUGUUUUGGUUUUUGUUUUUGUUUUCCUCUCUCUCUUGUGUGUGGAAAGCAUUGUUUUUAAGCAGUGCAGGUUCAAAGUCUGGGUUAGCAGUAUUUUACCAUGUUGCUUCAGUUCUGAAAAGCAGGAAUAUGGGUCUUGACCAGAGAAACAUCCAGUACACUUAGUGAAACAAAAUGAAAUCUGAGGUGACUGCUGGCAAAAUCCAGAGAAGGUAAAAGUCACUUGAGGAAUAGCUGUGUGCUUCUGAUUGCAGCUUGUGACUGAGACAAGUCUGUUAUCCUGCCUGAAGGAUAGGAUGUAGCUCUUUUUUAAAGUGUCCCUCAUCCCUCACUUACUGUUUACUGUGGUAGCAAUAAGGAUCUCAGAAGUGGGGAGUCAAGGCUUGGGAUGGGCAGAGGGAGCUCCGUGCCAAACCCCACAGCCUCUGUCCAUCUCCUGGUGGGCCUUGCAGGUGAUACUGAAGCAUCAGGUUCACCACAGCACAGGGGGCUGGAGCCCCUGGGAGAAGCUGUGCUUUCCAAAGCCUCUUGUUCCAGUAUUGGUAGAGUCAGCACCUACUACAGCCUUACAAAUUAGCAUGAAGAAAGGAUGCUUGCCAAAUUCUGAAACCUUUCCAAUCAACAGUACUGGAGUUAAGGGAAAAGCAAAUAAAAAAACAAAGGAACAAAACCUCCCUCUAUUUUAAUUGGGUGUAAGAGGCCCUAGGUAGCAAACACUGAGCUGUCCCCAGACAGCAGAGAAGCUCAUCAUUGAAGAUGGCAUGUUUGGAUAAACAUUUGUUUAAGCAAGAAUUUAAAAUCUAAAUGAACCCAGAGCUGUAAUUCUGGAAUAAUUAAAGAGACUUAGGGCAUUUUUUUCUUAGUUUUUGUUUAAGUAAUUACUUGCUCAACAUCAGUAAAGUCUCCAUUUACUGUAAAAUCCUUUCUUUUUAUAAGCUUAUUCUUGCACUCCAGAACUGGCCAUAUUCUUGAAAAAGAAAAUUUAGGGGUUGCUUUCAAUAGCUGAAAGUAGCCUUUUGCAGUGUUUUAAGUCCCAUGGUACUUAAUGGUCCUGAUUUUAGUGCAGGAGACAAGCAGGCAAAAGGAAAAGCUGUUUCUCAGCCCCUUUCCACUCCUCGUAUUUUGCAUUUUUUCAGAAUAGGGUAAGAAAUUUCACCUUUGAUUAUUUCCUGUUAGACUCACUAAAUUUGCUGCUUUCCUUGCAAAAGGAAAAUAUUUGGGAACCCUUAUGAGGCAGUUCCAGCUCUGCUGUAAGGUUCCUAGCUGGUCCUCCAAGUCAGGAAGACUCCUUUGUUUCAGCCCUGGUCCAUCUUUCUGCCACAUCAAAACUGUUUUUAUUCUGCUUUCCUUGUUUUAAGUAACAGCUCAAAGAUCCUGAAACAUACAUUCAGAGAGAGAAAUACAUUUUUGUUCCAUUGUCUCCUAUUGCCACAAUCUUCUUUCCUUCCUUCCUUCCCUAAUUUUCCUGAGCAUUUUGAAGGCCAGUGUUGUACCCAGGGAUCAGGGGAUCAGUGGUUUUGGAACAGAGGAGUCCCUGUGGCACGUGGUGGGGCAGGUCUGAACCACCACACUUGAUGGGGCAUUUGUUAGGGACCCACUCAUAGCGCUGCUUCCCCUGAGGAGUGGGACUGAUUUACACUUCCUCUGUCACAAGUUCCAAUCGAAGCACUCUCAGUACAGCUGUUCCUCUCACCUUCCACAGGAGUUUUGACUGGCUGGGGAUAAUUUUUCUUUGAGGAGAGGAUCUUGUUCUGGCUGGCUGGAUAUUUUUCCCCAUUUUAUUUUAAUAUUUUCGUUACAACUGAAAAAGGAAUGUUGCAUCACCCCUUUUCGUUUUUGUUUUUUGUUUGGUUGGGUUUUUUUUCAUUUUAAGCCUUAACUAUCAGUCAGUCUGGAAGCCCUGGAUGUUUCCUGGGGAGGGGGGAAGGAGGGAAGGUCAAGGGAAAGGCCAACAUUCCUGCUGCAAUGUUCUGUUCAUUUCCUUCAAGAGCUUGAAUUCAGGUCAGAGCCACAAUAGUUGUGGCUUCAACUCAAGUGUCAUAUAAAAAGAUACAGAAAUUAUAAUAUGAUCUCAGCAUUCAGAAAUUUGCAGUCUUAAUGUACAGUGAUGAGAAACUGUUAUUUUAUGAUCUUUUCAUUAAAAGCUUGAUUGAAAAAUUA